rnacentral:rRNA from 1 species
AGUGAACGCUGGCGGUAGGCCUAACACAUGCAAGUCGAACGGCAGCACAGUAAGAGCUUGCUCUUACGGGUGGCGAGUGGCGGACGGGUGAGGAAUACAUCGGAAUCUACUUUUUCGUGGGGGAUAACGUAGGGAAACUUACGCUAAUACCGCAUACGACCUACGGGUGAAAGCAGGGGAUCUUCGGACCUUGCGCGAUUGAAUGAGCCGAUGUCGGAUUAGCUAGUUGGCGGGGUAAAGGCCCACCAAGGCGACGAUCCGUAGCUGGUCUGAGAGGAUGAUCGGCCACACUGGAACUGAGACACGGUCCAGACUCCUACGGGAGGCAGCAGUGGGGAAUAUUGGGCAAUGGGCGCAAGCCUGAUCCAGCCAUACCGCGUGGGUGAAGAAGGCCUUCGGGUUGUAAAGCCCUUUUGUUAGGAAAGAAAAGCAGCAGGUUAAUACCCCGCUGUUCUGACGGUACCCAAAGAAUAAGCACCGGCUAACUUCGUG